rnacentral:rRNA from 1 species
CAACCAGACUCCUACGGGAGGCAGCAGUAGGGAAUAUUGCACAAUGGGCGCAAGCCUGAUGCAGCCAUGCCGCGUGUAUGAAGAAGGCCUUCGGGUUGUAAAGUACUUUCAGCGGGGAGGAAGGUGUUGUGGUUAAUAACCACAGCAAUUGACGUUACCCGCAGAAGAAGCACCGGCUAACUCCGUGCCAGCAGCCGCGGUAAUACGUAGGGUGCGAGCGUUAAUCGGAAUUACUGGGCGUAAAGGGUGUGCAGGCGGCUGAGUAAGACAGAUGUGAAAUCCCCGGGCUCAACCUGGGAACUGCAUUCGAAACUGGCAGGCUGGAGUCUUGUAGAGGGGGGUAGAAUUCCAGGUGUAGCGGUGAAAUGCGUAGAGAUCUGGAGGAAUACCGGUGGCGAAGGCGGCCCCCUGGACAAAGACUGACGCUCAGGUGCGAAAGCGUGGGGAGCAAACAGGAUUAGAUACCCCAGUACGC